GGCGCUAUAGCCAAGUGGUUACGGCGACAGAUUCGAAUCUCAAGUAGACAUCUGUUCCUCUUUGAGGGCGCAGGUUCAAAUCCUGCUGGCGUCG
rnacentral:tRNA from 1 species